GGAAAGCGCUCGUUUAAUGCGCUCUCGCCCCCGCGGAGGCCCCCGCCCUUCGCCGCCGCCGUUGCUAAGCAACGCCCAGCCGGCUUCAGGGGAGCGUCUAGGCCCGCCGUGGGGAGGGGGAGGAAGGUUCAGGUGCUUUUUUCAUGAGACAACUGGACUUUUUCUUUGAAGAUGUUUCCCUUCUCAUCCAAGAAGCUUCUUCAGAAUCUCCGUAGACAUUCCUUCAUUCAGUGCCUUCAAGUCUGUAUUGACUCCUGGUGAUGGCCUGACUAGUCCCUGCAGUUUUUGUGGCUCCAAACCUUUUAAGAAGAGGUCUGCCGUGGCCUCCUUCCUAAGGCUGAGAGAGGAGCACUGGCUUACAAGUCACCCAGCUGGCUUUCUGCCUAAGGCAGGGCAGGACUAGAACUCGCAGUCUCCCAGCUAAGGCCUGACGCCUUAACCACUACACCAAAUGGGCUAAAAUAUCAGUUGCAUGGAAGGAAAUAAAAAGAAUGCAGGAAGAGAUAUACAGGUAAUAAUACAUCGGUCAUGUGAUGCGAGAGAGGUAUAAUAAAGAAUGAGUGUGGGCAGAUUGCACUUAUGGGCUGUAUUUGCACAUUUUAUCAAGAUGAAAAUAAAUAAAUCACAUGUUAAGUCAAA